UUCUGCCUAGAGACUUAGUUUGGUGAUGUUAGAAAAUCACAAAGAUAAGAAGACUUAAGACAUUUUAACUAGGCACCUCAAGAACAGUGGUCUCACAUUGAAAAUGUUUUGCAAAUCAAACGUUUGGCAACUUCAAUUCAGGUGCAUUUAAUGUGAACUCAAAUAUGUGGUAAGUGUGUGUAAUCAGAAAGCGUCUACUUUCUAUCAGUUUGUGGUCACAUGAAGACAAUUGACGUUAAUUUCCAAGACUCACUAUUUGGUAGCCUUCUAGCGUGUAACCAUAAAGCACCAGCGCCCAGCACAGUUGUCCCCAAGGAGUGACCUACACCCUCUGCCGGGCGCUGUCUCAUCACUGAGCCAGGCGCUUUGUCUUCUGGCCAUCAGCCUGGCCUUAGGGACAGCCCCUGAGUUGGGUCGUGUCCUCAUGGGGGAUCCUCCUGGCAGUUGUCUUCUGAAACAGCCCAACUGUCACCACCUUCAGUUGCUAAAAUGACAAAACCCUAAGGUACGAAACAAUCCUGUGUCCCCUUCAGUCCUCACUCUACCCAGGGGCCACAUUGUAGUCUGUGUGGAGUUGGUUGUCUUUUUCCUAUUUUGAACUUCACUUUGCAUCUGGACCCUUUUUACUUGUGCUCUGAGUCUUACUAAAUCAUUUGUGAAAACAGUCCUUUGAUUUUCUGCUUGAGAGUAACUUCCUCUUAGAGGCUAAAAAACUGGCUAGUACUAGACCAGAGGCCAUCACAUUUCCCUUUCAGUCCUCCACUGGGUUCCAGGAAAUAAAUCAUCCCCUAUAAUUAGACCCCGAUGUGUUGCCCCAGCAAUAGCGCUGCAUCCUCCACCCCCUGAAAAGACUGCGUUUCCUUUAGGGCCAUCCAGAACCACUGCUGAUGCACAGCAAAAACCAACUCCAUUGUAAAGACAGUAGAGCCAUGAAACUCUGCAAAAUUCACACAUCUAAAAUUGUUUCCAGACAGACCUACAAUCUUUAACAUCAUCCCCUUCUCUCCUCACGCCAAACAACUCUUUCCAGUAACUUCAGAAAGUGAAGAGAUAUGGUAAACCUGAAACUUCUGUGUGACAAAGAGCUCAACAGUUGUGAUUGCUUGCAGCACAUGUAGUCAUCACGGGAGCUGGGAAAGUUUAUUUCUACUUCAUUCAGGUGGUUUCAUGUUUUUGAAGAAAGUGAGUAAGAGAUUCGGUUGGCUAUUGCAGAAUGGAGCAUGCAGGACCCUCCAUUUCUCUAACAGAUAAGAGGAACCAUGAUAUCCACGUGUAUCCAAAGGCCAGUCUUGGAUCAAAGCAGGUGGGCAGCUGACCCUCUGAGUUCCAGUUACCCUGUGGAAGAAUCAGAUUUUACGGAAAUGAGGGCUCAGUGAUCACGAUGCUGUAUUUGCGUCAGAUUCAAGCGGAUGACUCUUGCUCGAUGAUUUCCAUGGCGAUGACCUCAGCACCCUCCAUAACGAUGACCUCAUCACCCUCCAUAGCGAUGACCUCAGCCCCCUCCAUAGCGGUGACCUCAGCCCCCUCCUCGCCUAGGUUGUUGGUGGGCUCGUUCCUUGGCUCCUGAUGGCAGAUGUAGACAGGCAUCUGAGGAGCCUCAGCCAGGGCGGCAGCGGCAGCAGCAGUGGCGGCGGCAGCGUUGGCGGCACGGGUGGCGCGGCGGCGGCCACUCCAGCGCUGGGCUUGGUAUUGGUUCCAUUGACGCUUCAGAGCAGCUUGGACCUGGAAGAGAAGAGAGAACCUUGUGUUCAUACAAUGGUCGGAAAUGAUCUGAGCCAAGUUCAUGAGCACAGGUCUUGGAGCUUCUCAGAGGUUAGGGGAGGUUGAAUUGUAAUUCUCAUCUAAAGGGCCGUGUGGUAAAUGCUCUGCCUGUGGAAUACACCAUCUUGGAAGAAGAAUUUGCGAACUGGAGAACUGAGUUACUUGCCUCAACUACCACUGCCAAGGUUAUUUGCUGUUUUGAGCAAGGGUUUCUUCAUUAGCUCUUACAGUCAAUGAAUGAAAAUAUGACUUGGUUUCACAUUCAAUAUGGCAUCCACGCCAUAUUAGGGAGACAAUUUGAAACCCUUUUAUCUGCUACAACCGCUGAUACAGCAGAAGCUUUUAUCUAUACAUUAUUGGUCAUGAAAAAAAUAUAUGGAAACCAUUGCACACUUUUGGAUUUUAUGAUAAUGGCCUCAUACUGUUGAUUUUCCUUUAUCCAAUGUGGCUUGAGAUGGGGUGUGCCCGAUAAAGCUCUGGUUAGUGGUUAACUAACCAUGUCUUAUUCAUUUUUGUAUUACCACAUGUCGUGGUGUUUGGCAUAGAGCAGUUAUUCAACAAAUGUUUGUUGAAUGGUUGUCAACAUCCAUUCUAGAAUGAUUUUCUCCCUCUUUAAGCCAAGAAAAUGAUCAUCCAUGACCGUAUGGUAAUUAGUGCCUUAGCGUCUGGUGGUAUUAGGGUGGGAUGCUAAAACUGGCUAGAGUGAAUUUGAGGAAGAGACUUGAAUUCCUCCCUGAGGUGAACUGUAAACCACUAGGUCAUCUACAGUUGUGAUUAGGUCUUCUCUCUCACGCCAUGGUGUAUGCUUUGGGGAAUUACUCUUGAGCUCCAAUGGGUUGCAAUUUUGGAAAUUAUCAGAAGCAACCACUUGUAAUAUUGUACCAGCAACAAGCUGCGUGGGAGGCAAUGGUUGUCACUGGGUAACAUCACAUCACCUUUCCUUUCCUUUUCCACUGAUAAGGCCAUUUCACUGGGUCUCAUUUGAUGCCAUGAAAAAGUAUUGAACUUUGGGUCAAGAAACUGAUUCUGCCCACAUUAGCCAUGAAAUCUUGGGUAGGAUAGUUAACCCCUCCGAGACUCCUUUCUUCAGUACAACUCUUCUACCUCACCUAGCUGUUUGAAGGAUUAAAUUGUUGCACUAUGAAUCAAAGUGGCUUCUAAGAUGUAAGUACCAUACAAGGAGGCUAUUAUUCCUAUUAUUGUACUCUUAUUAUGGCAGGAUGGUGGCCUCAGGUCUUUAGACUAAAGGAAACUCUUACGUCAUAUGUGUGGAGAUAUAUAUAUAUACAUAUACAUAUAUAUAUAUAUAUUUGGAGGGUGGUGGUGUUAAGAAAAUAAAAAAGAGCUCUUUAUUACAUAGUUUCUGAUCUCAUGUUCAGUUCUCUCUCAUAUAUUCCA